rnacentral:rRNA from 1 species
AACGUAGGUGGCAAGCGUUAUCCGGAUUUACUGGGCGUAAAGCAUGUGCAGACGGGUUGGUAAGUGGUGUAUGAAAGCGUCCGGCUUAACCGGGCAAGCGUAUGCCAGACUGCCAGUCUUGGAGAGUGGGAGAGGGAUGUGGAAUUCCGGGUGUAGUGGUGAAAUGCGGUAGAGAUCCGGAGGAACCACGAGCGGCAGGACGGAAGC